GGGGUGUGCUCAGAGCAGGGGACCUGAAGAAUGCUUCCUCUGUUUACAAUACACCGAACAGGAAUCUGGGGUCAUUGUGAUGAGGGGCACAAAACUUAUGACCUCUCUAUGAACAAAUGCCCCACAUGC
ensembl:snoRNA